AACAAACGCUGGCGGCGUGCCUAAACAUGCAAGUCGAACGGACUCUUCGGAGUCAGUGGCGGACGGCUGAGUAACACGUAGGUGACCUGCCCUUGAGUGGGGAAUAACGGUCCGAAAGGAUCGCUAAUACCGCAUACGACCGUUCCGUUUAGGCGGGAUGAGGAAAGCCGAAAGGCGCUCGAGGAGGGGCCUGCGUCCGAUUAGCUAGUUGGUGGGUAAAGGCCGUACCAAGGCGACGAUCGGUAGCNGGUCUAAGAGGAUGAUCAGCCAGACUGGGACUGUGACACGGCCCAGACUCC
rnacentral:rRNA from 1 species